CUCCCUUCCCAUCAACUGAGGGCCCUCAAAAUGGGGCGCUGUGUUCACGUCUACAUGGGUAUUGGAUGGUCUCGAAUGCUUUCAUCUAGAGUGUUUGUGUCACUGAGCGAGAUGGCCCUCCCUCUGCUCUUCGGCCCUCUAUUUACUGGAACGUGUUGACACCAGCUUUCCCAAAGUUUUGUGUGUUUGUUUACCUUGGAGC